rnacentral:rRNA from 1 species
CCUACGGGGGGCAGCAGUGAGGAAUAUUGCACAAUGGGCGAAAGCCUGAUGCAGCAACGCCGCGUGAGUGAUGAAGGCCUUUGGGUCGUAAAACUCUGUCCUUGGGGAAGAAAAAAAUGACGGUACCCUUGGAGGAAGCCCCGGCUAACUACGUGCCAGCAGCCGCGGUAAUACGUAGGGGGCGAGCGUUAUCCGGAAUUAUUGGGCGUAAAGAGUGCGUAGGUGGUUUUGUAAGCGUAGGGUGAAAGGCAGUAGCUCAACUACUGUUAGCCCUGCGAACUGUGAGACUUGAGUGCAGGAGAGGAAAGUGGAAUUCCUAGUGUAGCGGUGAAAUGCGUAGAUAUUAGGAGGAACACCAGUGGCGAAGGCGACUUUCUGGACUGUAACUGACACUGAGGCACGAAAGCGUGGGUAGCAAACAGGCUUAGAUACCCCGGUAGUC